GAUGAACGCUGGCGGCGUGCCUAAUACAUGCAAGUCGAGCGAACAGACGAGGAGCUUGCUCCUCUGACGUUAGCGGCGGACGGGUGAGUAACACGUGGAUAACCUACCUAUAAGACUGGGAUAACUUCGGGAAACCGGAGCUAAUACCGGAUAAUAUAUUGAACCGCAUGGUUCAAUAGUGAAAGACGGUUUUGCUGUCACUUAUAGAUGGAUCCGCGCCGCAUUAGCUAGUUGGUAAGGUAACGGCUUACCAAGGCAACGAUGCGUAGCCGACCUGAGAGGGUGAUCGGCCACACUGGAACUGAGACACGGUCCAGACUCCUACGGGAGGCAGCAGUAGGGAAUCUUCCGCAAUGGGCGAAAGUCUGACGGAGCAACGCCGCGUGAGUGAUGAAGGUCUUCGGAUCGUAAAACUCUGUUAUUAGGGAAGAACAAAUGUGUAAGUAACUAUGCACGUCUUGACGGUACCUAAUCUGAAAGCCACGGCUAACUACGUG
rnacentral:rRNA from 1 species